UGGGAUUUUGUAGCUGUUGUUUACUUUGGAGAGAACGAUCCCUCUUACAUUAGUUCUACCUAAUAUCUCAGUUAUUUUGUUGGGACAUUAGCAGUGAGGCAGUACACCCAACAGACUGCUCUUCAUUUAUAUUUUCUUCACUGAGAAGAUGAGCCCACUUCUUUUUUUGUGUAUCUUGUGCCUGUUGGCCCGCAUCACCUACACUCAGUUUCCAGGUCCUCCUGGUCUUAAAGGUGAGAAAGGAGAUUGAGGAGUUUCUGGGACACAAGGAGUGCCUGGACCACGUGGGCGAACUGGAAUUCCUGGACUGCCUGGACGUCCUGGUGAAAUAGGGGGAGUAGGAAUAGAUGGGCUUCCUGGGCACCCUGGAGAAACAGUGUGCACUGAAGCUACAGUUGAAUCCACUUGCCCAGAUGUUGAAACCUUAAAAAGCAGACUUGCUGAGUUAGAACUGGGUAAGUAUCAUCAUCAAGGCAUUAUUAAUUAUGUUUAUUUAAAACUUUUUCAAAGACCAUCCGUUAAUAAUUUGUUGUUGCAAUUUACAACAA